AGUUUGAUCAUGGCUCAGGAUGAACGCUAGCGGAGGCCUAACACAUGCAAGCCGAGCGGUAGAGAUUCUUCGGAAUCUUGAGAGCGGCGUACGGGUGCGGAACACGUGUGCAACCUACCUUUAUCUGGAGGAUAGCCUUUCGAAAGGAAGAUUAAUACUCCAUAAUAUAUUGAUUGGCAUCAAUUGAUAUUGAAAGCUCCGGCGGAUAGAGAUGGGCACGCGCAAGAUUAGUUAGUUGGUGAGGUAACGGCUCACCAAGACGAUGAUCUUUAGGGGCCUGAGAGGGUGAUCCCCCACACUGGUACUGAGACACGGACCAGACUCCUACGGGAGGCAGCAGUGAGGAAUAUUGGUCAAUGGGUGCAAGCCUGAACCAGCCAUCCCGCGUGAAGGACGACUGCCCUAUGGGUUGUAAACUUCUUUUGUAUAGGGAUAAACCUACCCUCGUGAGGGUAGCUGAAGGUACUAUACGAAUAAGCACCGGCUAACUCCGUG
rnacentral:rRNA from 1 species